rnacentral:pre_miRNA from 1 species
UGUGCACUGGUGGGGUCCCUCAGCCUGGCCUGUGCCCUCUCACAAUCCGGGACCCUCAGGGGGUGUCGGACUGCUGGUUUCUGCCCGAUCCAUGUAGGCCAGGCUGAGGGACCCCAUCGGUGCAUG